GACAGCAGUCGCCACGGGAAUACGUAGGGUGCAAGCGUUAUCCGGAAUUAUUGGGCGUAAAGAGCUCGUAGGCGGUUUGUCGCGUCUGCUGUGAAAACUGGAGGCUCAACCUCCAGCCUGCAGUGGGUACGGGCAGACUAGAGUGCGGUAGGGGAGAUUGGAAUUCCUGGUGUAGCGGUGGAAUGCGCAGAUAUCAGGAGGAACACCGAUGGCGAAGGCAGAUCUCUGGGCCGUAACUGACGCUGAGGAGCGAAAGCGUGGGGAGCGAACAGGAUUAGAUACCCGCGUAGUCCCUGUCUCUUAUAC
rnacentral:rRNA from 1 species